rnacentral:rRNA from 1 species
UACGUAGGGUGCGAGCGUUGUCCGGAAUUAUUGGGCGUAAAGAGCUUGUAGGCGGUUUGUCGCGUCUGCUGUGAAAAUCCGGGGCUCAACCCCGGACUUGCAGUGGGUACGGGCAGACUAGAGUGUGGUAGGGGGAGACUGGAAUUCCUGGUGUAGCGGUGAAAUGCGCAGAUAUCAGGAGGAACACCGAUGGCGAAGGCAGGUCUCUGGGCCACUACUGACGCUGAGACGCGAAAGCCAGGGGAGCGAACGGGG